GCCAGGUUUGGUGGCGCACACCUGUAGUCCCAGCUACUCGGGAGGCUGAGGCAGGAGAAUCACUUGAACCCAGGAGGCAGAGGUUGCAGUGAGCUGAGAUAGCACCACUGCACUCCAGCCUGGGUGACAGAGUAAGACCCUGUCUCAA
rnacentral:SRP_RNA from 1 species